AUGCAUGUCUAAGUAUAAGCAAUUAUACAGCGAAACUGCGAAUGGCUCAUUAUAUAAGUUAUCGUUUAUUUGAUAGUACCUUACUACUUGGAUAACCGUGGUAAUUCUAGAGCUAAUACAUGCUGAAAAUCCCGACUUCGGAAGGGAGGUAUUUAUUAGAUUAAAAACCAAUGCCCUCUGGGCUCCUUGGUGAUUCAUAAUAACUUUUCGAAUCGCACGGCCUUGCGCCGGCGAUGGUUCAUUCAAAUUUCUUCCCUAUCAACUUUCGAUGUUUGGGUAUUGGCCAAACAUGGUCGCAACGGGUAACGGAGGGUUAGGGCUCGACCCCGGAGAAGGAGCCUGAGAAACGGCUACUACAUCCAAGGAAGGCAGCAGGCGCGCAAAUUACCCAAUCCCGAUUCGGGGAGGUAGUGACAAUAAAUACUGAUACAGGGCUCUUUUGGGUCUUGUAAUUGGAAUGAGUACAAUUUAAAUCUCUUAACGAGGAACANUUGGAGGGCAAGUCUGGUGCCAGCAGCCGCGGUAAUUCCAGCUCCAAUAGCGUAUAUUAAAGUUGUUGUGGUUAAAAAGCUCGUAAUUGAACCUUGGGCCUGGCUGGCCGGUCCGCCUCACCGCGUGUACUGGUCCGGCCGGGCCUUUCCCUCUGUGGAACCUCAUGCCCUUCACUGGGUGUGGCGGGGAAACAGGACUUUUACUUUGAAAAAAUUAGAGUGCUCCAGGCAGGCCUAUGCUCGAAUACAUUAGCAUGGAAUAAUAAAAUAGGACGCGUGGUUCUAUUUUGUUGGUUUCUAGGACCGCCGUAAUGAUUAAUAGGGACAGUCGGGGGCAUCAGUAUUCAAUUGUCAGAGGUGAAAUUCUUAGAUUUAUUGAAGACUAACUACUGCGAAAGCAUUUGCCAAGGAUGUUUUCAUUAAUCAGGAACGAAAGUUAGGGGAUCGAAGACGAUCAGAUACCGUCGUAGUCUUAACCAUAAACUAUG
rnacentral:rRNA from 1 species